rnacentral:tRNA from 1 species
AGGGGGAUAGCUCAGUAGUAGAACACAUGCUUAGGAUGCAUGAGGUCCUGAGUUCAAUCCCCAGUACCUGUA